rnacentral:rRNA from 1 species
UGCCAGCCGCCGCGGUAAUACGAAGGGUGUAAGCGUUGUUCGGAAUUAUUGGGCGUAAAGCGCGCGCAGGCGGAUUAACAAGUCAGAUGUGAAAUCUCGGGGCUCAACUCCGAAACUGCGUCUGAAACUAUUAAUCUAGGAUCUCGGAGGGGGAUGGGGAAUUUCUCAUGUAGGGGUAAAAUCCGUAGAGAUGCGAAGGAACACCAGUGGCGAAGGCGCCAUCCUGGAUGAGUAUUGACGCUGAGGCGCGAAAGCGUGGGAGCGAACAGGAUUAGAUA